ACUGAUGAAGGCGAUUACCAGGUAAAACUGCGCAACCUGCGUCGCUUUCUGGAAGGUGGCGAUAAAGCCAAAGUUACGAUCCGUUUCCGCGGACGUGAAAUGGCUCACCAAGAGAUCGGCAUUGAGCUGCUGAAUCGCGUUAAAGGCGAUUUGGAAGACAUUGCCAACUGUGAGUCUUUCCCUCGUAGAGUGGAAGGCCGUCAGAUGAUCAUGGUGCUCGCCCCACUUAAGAAGUAGUAGUGGUUUAAAGUUUUUGGGAAUCUGCACCCCAAAACACCCUGCUGCAAAUAUUAACCGGUGGAAAGGUGACUGCACACCCCAUACCGAUAUUAACAAUGCGGA
rnacentral:misc_RNA from 1 species